AGAGUUUGAUACUGGCUCAGGACUAACGCUGGCGGCGUGUCUUAGCCAUGCAAGUCGAACGGACCAAUUUUUAGUAGUAAUACUGUUUAUUGGUUAGUGGCGAAUGGGUGAGUAACACGUGAAUAAUCUACCCCGAAGAGGUGGAUAACAGGUCGAAAGGCCUGCUAAUACGCCAUAUGCUCACGACUCCUUGGAGUAGUGAGAAAAGGGUGGCCUCUGCUUGCAAGCUAUCGCUUCGGGAUGAGUUCGCGUCCUAUCAGCUAGUUGGUGAGGUGAUGGCUCACCAAGGCAAUGACGGGUAGCCGGCCUGAGAGGGUGAACGGCCACACUGGAACUGAGAAACGGUCCAGACUCCUACGGGAGGCAGCAGGCUAGAAAAUUGGGCAAUGGGCGCAAGCCUGACCCAGCGACGCCGCGUGAGGGAUGAAGGUCUUCGGAUUGUAAACCUCUGUUAGGAACGAAAAAGGGAAUAAUUCCCAAUACGAAUUAUUCUUGAUGGUACUUCCAAAGAAAGCACCGGCUAACUCCGUGCCAGCAGCCGCGGUAAUACGGGGGGUGCAAGCGUUGUCCGGAAUUACUGGGUGUAAAGGGGAUGUAGGCGGAUAGAUAAGUUAAACGUGAAAACUAAGGGCUCAACCUUUAGCCUGCGUUUAAUACUGUUUAUCUUGAGUUCGGAAUAGGAGAACGGAACUUCCAGUGUAGCAGUGGAAUGCGCAGAUAUUGGAAGGAACACCAGUGGCGAAGGCGGUUCUCUGGUACGAAACCGACGCUAAUCUCCGAAAGCUAGGGGAGCAAACAGGCUUAGAUACCCUGGUAGUCCUAGCUGUAAACGAUGGAUACUAGGCGUUUCCAUUAGGAAGUGCCGAAGCUAACGCAUUAAGUAUCCCACCUGGGGAGUACGAUCGCAAGGUUGAAACUCAAAGGAAUUGACGGG
rnacentral:rRNA from 1 species